rnacentral:lncRNA from 1 species
AAUGCUGAAUUCCACAAACAACGAAGCACCAGGGACACUACAUUGCCUACUUAAAGUUUCAGAAAUAUUUUCAAAAGGGUACAACAAUUUAAAAUGAUCAAAUUGUCCUUACUUCUUCUAUAAGAAAAAAUAAUUUUUUUAGCAUUUCUAUUAUUUUGAAGGAUAUUUUCGGUAUAAAUUAUAAGAAAUGGACGGAAUAGUGAUAGAACCAUGAAGGACGGGAGGCUAAAUACAAUAAUUUAAAAUAUUAAGAGAAUAAAAAUAUAAAGUUUUUAAAAUUAGAAAAGCAGUAAAAAAACGAAUCUUUAUAAGAAAAUUUUCUAUAAUUUAACUUAAUAUAUUAUAGGGGCAAUUGCUUAUAUACCCUUGAAAAAUUUUUGAAUUUAUGAUUUACCCCUCUUAGAAAGCUAAUAUUAAAAUACCCUUUUUACAUUCCAAGUUAUUUCAAAUAUAUCCCUAGAGUUAAAUUCUGUUAGUAAAUGAUUAACAAAGCUGUUAUAUCUAUAAAAUUAUUAUUUUGCCCUUUUAAAUAUACCUUUCUAUCAUCACUAUCUUUUCUUAUUUGUCCUUAAGUUAGGGACAAAUUUUUUUUUUAUUUUCAGUCUUUUUAAAUAUACUCUUUUAUCAUUACCAACCUUUCUUAUGUGUCCUUAAGUUAAGGGCAAAAGAGAUGUUUUAAUUUUUUUAAACUCUGAUAGAUACUUAUCUCAUGUUUAACCCGAGAUAACUUAACGGGUGGUAACUGCGGGGUAUUUUUGAACAACAGAGAAACAUUUGAGGGUAUAUUCAAAAUAAAAAAAAAUAAUAAAUGAGAUAUUUUUGAAGUUUUGAGGGAUAUAUAGAUAAUUAGAGUUGAGCUGGAAUAUUAUCGGUAGCAAACGGGCUUCAUUGUCAUCCAUUUGUUUUCGAUGAUGGGGCCUCUAAAUUGACGAUCAGCACCGUGGAACAUGAUUAAUACCAUUUGAAGUAUCUAGAAAUUAAAUUUCAUACUUUUUCGAUAUUAUUCUCUCAUCCAUCAAGUAGAUGGAAAAAUAAACAGUUGAAAGUGAAUAUCCUCUAAAAAGUGAUGAUAGGAAUUUUGUAAUCAAAAUUGAGAGUAUAGAUUUUGUUCUAAAUAGUUUAAAGAAUUUUCUAACUAAAAUUCAACUGAUUUGGAUAGCGUUACACCGUUAAAUAAGAAAACGCCUCAUAUCUACCAUUAAAAUUACAAAUUUUGAAACCCUUUGAUCCUUAGAUCAAUGAUCUCGAAAAGAUUUGAAAUUUGAUUUUUAGAUAUUUCAAGUGAUAUAGAUUACAACGACCCGACCCGCUAGCAACAAUAACACGUUGGGCCCGAACUACUGGCCCAAAAUGCUUAAGCCCAGUUAUUAUGUCUAGUGUGUCCGCUACUUAUAAACCCAAUAGGCUCUCCCACAUUAUCCGAUGUGGGACUAUUGGGAUGUCACAUACUCCCCUCGUUUAGGUGCUGACGUCCUCGUCAGCCCGGCCCAAUCAUAUAUAUAGUCCCAGAUUCACCAGGCUGGUAACCUGGCUCUGAUACCAAAUGCAAUGACCCGACCCGCUAGCAACAAUAACUCGUUGGGUCCGAACCACCAGCCCAAAAUGCUUAAGUCCAGUUAUUAUGUCUAGUGUGUCCGCUACAUAUAAACCCAAUAGGCUCUCCCACAUUAUCCGAUGUGGGACUAUUGGGUUGUCACAUCGAUCAUAUUCAACCGUACCGAUCGUCGAUAUGCUCUAUCAUCGAAAAUAAAUAAAUGGCAACGGAGCCCAUUAACUACCGACAACAUUUCAGCUCAGCCCUAUAUAAUUAUUCCUAUCUAUAGAUAAU